GCAGGUGCAUGCCUCUAGCAUGAAUUCAGACAAGUGAACCCGCUGAACUUAAGCA
rnacentral:rRNA from 1 species